rnacentral:rRNA from 1 species
GACGAACGCUGGCGGCGUGCCUAACACAUGCAAGUCGAGCGGGGGGAGUACUUCGGUACAAACCUAGCGGCGGACGGGUGAGUAACACGUGGGUAACCUGCCUCAAAGUGGGGGAUAGCCUUCCGAAAGGAAGAUUAAUACCGCAUAACCCAUAGCUUCCGCAUGGAAGCAAUGGUAAAGAUUUAUCGCUUUGAGAUGGACCCGCGGCGCAUUAGCUAGUUGGUGAGGUAACGGCUCACCAAGGCCACGAUGCGUAGCCGACCUGAGAGGGUGAUCGGCCACAUUGGAACUGAGACACGGUCCAGACUCCUACGGGAGGCAGCAGUGGGGAAUAUUGCACAAUGGGCGAAAGCCUGAUGCAGCAACGCCGCGUGAGUGAUGAAGGCCUUCGGGUUGUAAAGCUCUGUCUUUUGGGACGAUAAUGACGGUACCAAAGGAGGAAGCCACGGCUAACUACGUGCCAGCAGCCGCCGUAA